rnacentral:rRNA from 1 species
AUUGAACGCUGGCGGCAGGCCUAACACAUGCAAGUCGAACGAGUGGCGGACGGGUGAGUAAUGUCUGGGAAACUGCCCGAUGGAGGGGGAUAACUACUGGAAACGGUAGCUAAUACCGCAUACCAUCGGAUGUGCCCAGAUGGGAUUAGCUAGUAGGGGGGGUAACGGCUCACCUCGGCGACGAUCCCUAGCUGGUCUGAGAGGAUGACCGGCCACCCGGGACCUGGACCCCGGUCCAGACCCCUACGGGGGGCAGCGGUGGGAAUUAUGGCACAAUGGGCGAAGGCUGGAUGCGGCCAUGCGGGGUGGAUGAAGAAGGCUUUCGGGUUGUAAAGUACUUUCAGCGAGGAGACGUUACUCGCAGAAGAAGCACCGGCUAACUCCGUGCCAGCAGCCGCGGUAAUA